rnacentral:rRNA from 1 species
UACGUAGGGUGCAAGCGUUGUCCGGAAUUAUUGGGCGUAAAGAGCUCGUAGGCGGUCUGUCGCGUCGGAUGUGAAAACCCAGGGCUCAACCCUGGGCCUGCAUUCGAUACGGGCAGACUAGAGUUCGGUAGGGGAGACUGGAAUUCCUGGUGUAGCGGUGAAAUGCGCAGAUAUCAGGAGGAACACCGGUGGCGAAGGCGGGUCUCUGGGCCGAAACUGACGCUGAGGAGCGAAAGCGUGGGGGAGCAAACAGG